GCUGUGCUGCAACGGGAGAACAGGAGAAUGGGGCUGCAGCCACACCAUGCACGGGGUCCUUGCUCUGACUUCUGAGCUGGUCUGCGGUACCCCAACACAAGGGAACUCAACAGGCAGCAGUGGUGGCGGCAUUGGGAGGGUUGGUGGCGGCUCUGUAGUGGGAGAAAUUCGCUGGAGGAAGAAGCAGGCAAACCCCUCAACGAUUGGGUUUUGGUGCACUGAUGGAUUUUUCUCAGAAUAUGACAGCCUCAACAUACUUACCGGAAACAGGUCCUGAACUCUUCAGAAAGAAUAUGCACAAGCCCUCAAUAUCAAAUAGAGAUACCUGAAGAAAGACUGACACACCCAACUGGGUCUCUGAAGAAACAUUCUAAAAGCAAUGGGGCACUAGGAGCUCUCCGGGGUUCUGAAACACUGGUGUGGAAUGUUCCUCUUUGUUCAUUCACCUCAUACAUGCACCCUUCAACCUACCUUGGCAUCUACUCUUUUGCCUUGAGGCUGUCUACCUGGCAACCCAUACCUAAUGUGGCAUCAACAGCUUUAUCUUUUGGGUAUGCACUUCAUUUAGUUGGUUCUUUGUAUAGGAAAUGCUUUUGAGACUAUGUCAACAGGAGAAAAUAAAUAUGUUAAUAACUCUC